UACGAACGCUGGCGGCGUGCUUAACACAUGCAAGUCGAGCGAGGUCCAUCCACUCUUCGGAGUGGUGAAGACCUAGCGGCGAACGGGUGAGUAACACGUGAGGAACCUGCCCCGAAGACCGGGAUAACCCUCCGAAAGGAGAGCUAAUACCGGAUACCCCCACCGGACCGCAUGAUCUGGUGAGGAAAUGGAUUCCGCUUCGGGAGGGCCUCGCGGCCUAUCAGCUUGUUGGUGAGGUAACGGCUCACCAAGGCAUCGACGGGUAGCUGGUCUGAGAGGACGAUCAGCCACACUGGGACUGAGACACGGCCCAGACUCCUACGGGAGGCAGCAGUGGGGAAUCUUGCGCAAUGGGCGAAAGCCUGACGCAGCAACGCCGCGUGGGGGAUGAAGGCUUUCGGGUUGUAAACCCCUUUCAGCAGGGACGAUUAUGACGGUACCUGCAGAAGAAGGACCGGCCAACUACGUGCCAGCAGCCGCGGUAAUACGUAGGGUCCGAGCGUGUCGGU
rnacentral:rRNA from 1 species